GAUGAACGCUGGCGGCGUGCCUAAUACAUGCAAGUAGAACGCUGAAGCUUGGUGCUUGCACCGAGCGGAAGAGUUGCGAACGGGUGAGUAACGCGUAGGUAACCUGCCUCUUAGCGGGGGAUAACUAUUGGAAACGAUAGCUAAUACCGCAUAAAAGUCGGCAUUGCAUGAUGUUGACUUGAAAGGUGCAAAUGCAUCACUAAGAGAUGGACCUGCGUUGUAUUAGCUAGUUGGUGAGGUAACGGCUCACCAAGGCGACGAUACAUAGCCGACCUGAGAGGGUGAUCGGCCACACUGGGACUGAGACACGGCCCAGACUCCUACGGGAGGCAGCAGUAGGGAAUCUUCGGCAAUGGACGGAAGUCUGACCGAGCAACGCCGCGUGAGUGAAGAAGGUUUUCGGAUCGUAAAGCUCUGUUGUAAGAGAAGAACGAGUGUGAGAGUGGAAAGUUCACACUGUGACGGUAACUUACCAGAAAGGGACGGCUAACUACGUGCCAGCAGCCGCGGUAAUACGUAGGUCCCGAGCGUUAUCCGGAUUUAUUGGGCGUAAAGCGAGCGCAGGCGGUUAGAUAAGUCUGAAGUUAAAGGCUGUGGCUUAACCAUAGUACGCUUUGGAAACUGUUUAACUUGAGUGCAGAAGGGGAGAGUGGAAUUCCAUGUGUAGCGGUGAAAUGCGUAGAUAUAUGGAGGAACACCGGUGGCGAAAGCGGCUCUCUGGUCUGUAACUGACGCUGAGGCUCGAAAGCGUGGGGAGCAAACAGG
rnacentral:rRNA from 1 species